rnacentral:rRNA from 1 species
AACGCGAAGAACCUUACCUACUCUUGACAUCCACGGAACUUUUCAGAGAUGAAUUGGUGCCUUCGGGAACCGUGAGACAGGUGUUGCAUGGCUGUCGUCAGCUCGUGUUGUGAAAUGUUGGGUUAAGUCCCGCAACGAGCGCAACCCUUAUCCUUUGUUGCCAGCGGUUCGGCCGGGAACUCAAAGGAGACUGCCAGUGAUAAACUGGAGGAAGGUGGGGAUGACGUCAAGUCAUCAUGGCCCUUACGAGUAGGGCUACACACGUGCUACAAUGGCAUAUACAAAGAGAAGCGACCUCGCGAGAGCAAGCGGACCUCAUAAAGUAUGUCGUAGUCCGGAUUGGAGUCUGCAACUCGACUCCAUGAAGUCGGAAUCGCUAGUAAUCGUAGAUCAGAAUGCUACGGUGAAUACGUUCCCGGGUCUUGUACACACCG